UUGUAAUUUGGAGAAGGUGCUUCGGAUUAGAUUGUGGCUCAAGUCUUCUUGAAUGGAGCAUCAUAGAGGGUGACAAUCCCGUAUCUGCCAAUGUAUCUGUCCAUGUGAAGCCCUUUCAACGAGUCGAGUUGUUUGGGAAUGCAGCUCUAAAUGGGAGGUAAAUUUCUCCUAAAGCUAAAUAUCAGCCAGAGACCGAUAGCGAACAAGUAGAGUGAUCGAAAGAUGAAAAGUACUUUGAAAAGAGAGUUAAAAAGCACGUGAAAUUGUUGAAAGGGAAGCGCAUGCUACCAGACUUGUUCUUGUUGUUCAGCCUCCUGAAAAGGUGGUGCAUUCUUCAUGAACAGGCCAACAUCGGUUUCGAGGGUUGGAUAAAGGCUCAUGGAAAGUAGCUUUUCUUCGGGAAAGUGUUAUAGCCAGAGUGUAAUGCAACCACUCGAGACCGAGGAACGCGCUUCGGCGAGGAUGUUGGCAUAAUGGUCGUUUGCGACCCGUCUUGAAACACGGACCAAGGAGUCGACCAAUACCGCAAGCAUUAGAGUGUUAAACUCUUAUGCGUAAUGAAAGUGAACGUUGGUAGGAACCUUUUAAAGAUGCACUAUCGACCGAUCUGAGUUAGCGAGGAUUUGAGUAAGAGUGAUAUUGGUCGGACCCGAAAGAAGGUGAACUAUUCCUGACUAGGGUGAAGCCAGGGGAAACCCUGGUGGAGGCUCGCAGCGGUUCUGACGUGCAAAUCGAUCGUCAAAGCUGGGAAUAGGGGCGAAAGACUAAUCGAACCUUCUAGUAGCUGGUUCCUGUCGAAGUUUCCCUCAGGAUAGCAGUAACGAUAACAGUCUCAUGAGGUAGAGCAACGAUUGGAAGCAUGGGGGAAGAAACUUCCUUCACUUACUCUCGAACUCCGAAUAUGUGAGAAGUCCUUGUUACUUAAUUGAA
rnacentral:rRNA from 1 species